rnacentral:lncRNA from 1 species
CUUAAUUCCAGGUGGUAAAAUAAAAAAAAACAAAUCCUCAAUCAAUAAAAUAUUAAAAAAGCUUUUUAAAUAAUGUGACUGGUACAAGGUAAAAUUUCAUUCAAUUUGGUUCAACUGUUCACUCUUUUAUAUCUGGGAACACCAAAACUAACUAUUUUUUAGGAAAAAAAGGACCACAUCUUCAGAACUCUUCAUUCAAAAUCAGCCAA